UACGUUUUCAAUAUUAUAGAAUGUAACUCGUCAAUCGGUUUGGCGUUUUGGUCGAUCUGAUGAUUUAGAAUUAAUCUUUUGGCAAUGGAAACAAGUUCAAACAAAAGUGUAACCGUCGGACUUGUAUAUAAUGUCAACUAAGCACACCCUCUCAUCCCUUUUCGAUAUCCAACACCCUCCCAUUCUGCCAUCGGCUUCCUGCACGCCCGCCCACCGGAACGACGCCGGAAUCCGCAGAGGCAUCCACCAUUCUUUCGAAGUCACCGAAAAAAAAGUGGAUCUGAUCGGCAUCGUCGCGACUCCGGCCAAACCCAACCAUUCCGAAUUUAAUAUAUAUAAAUACCGACACCCUCACCACUCUCGACACCCUCAUACACACUCGCAACACGUUUCGAUAACCUAACACCUCGCCGGAGACCGAGAAGACGACCGGAGAGAACCACGGCCUUGCAGGGGAUCGGAGACGAAUUCGUUGCCACGUCGACGUUCGUUUCAUCACGUAUUCGGAUAACCAUUAUGUUCGUUCUUUUGGAUUCUCCAAUCUUUACUCGUGCGUAUUUACAAGAAACGCAACGCAAUCAAGGUGCUGAGCUGGAAUUUGCAUGGAGGAGUGUAGUGGCUAUCUAGAACCAUUGUUGGGUUCUUACUUAAAUAAAUUGUUUUUAAACUAUUGUUGAGACCUUAGACCUUAUGCUUCCGCUAGCAACGUAAACUAUGUUUUAAACU